UUUGGUGGCAUUAGCGCGAGUGAAACACCCGAUCCCAUCCCGAACUCGGCCGUUAAGCACCGCCGCGCCGAUGGUACUGCGUCCUAAGACGCGGGAGAGUAGGUCACCGCCAAAC
rnacentral:rRNA from 1 species